rnacentral:misc_RNA from 1 species
GAUGAAGAACGCAGUGAAAUGCGAUACGUAAUGUGAAUUGCAGAAUUCAGUGAAUCAUCGAGUCUUUGAACGCACAUUGCGCCCUCUGGUAUUCCGGAGGGCAUGCCUGUCCGAGCGUCAUUGCUGCCCUCAAGCACGGCUUGUGUGUUGGGCCCCGCCCCCCGAUCCCGGGGGGCGGGCCCGAAAGGCAGCGGCGGCACCGCGUCCGGUCCUCGAGCGUAUGGGGCUUUGUCACCCGCUCUGUAGGCCCGGCCGGCGCCUGCCGAUCAACCAAACUUUUUUCCAGGUUGACCUCGGAUCAGGUAGGGAUACCCGCUGAACUUAAGCAUAUCAAUAAGCGGAGGA